rnacentral:rRNA from 1 species
GGUGCGACACGGUGACGUGGGGCGGAUCCCUGAAAACCGGUCUCAGUUCGGAUCGCAGUCUGCAACUCGACUGCGUGAAGGUGGAGUCGCUAGUAAUCGCGGAUCAGCAACGCCGCGGUGAAUGCGUUCCCGGGCCUUGUACACACCGCCCGUCAAGUCAUGAAAGUGGGCAGCACCCGAAGACGGUGGCCUAACCCUUGUGGGGGGAGCCGUCUAAGGUGAGGCUCGUGAUUGGGACUAAGUCGUAACAAGGUACC